rnacentral:rRNA from 1 species
GAGUGGAAAAACUCCCUUGACGGUACUUAAUGAAUAAGCCCCGGCUAAUUAUGUGCCAGCAGCCGCGGUAAUACAUAAGGGGCGAGCGUUAUCCGGAAUUAUUGGGCGUAAAGGGUGCGUAGGCGGUUUAAUAAGUCUAUAGUUUAAUUUCAGUGCUUAACGCUGUUGUGCUAUAGAAACUGUUUUACUAGAGUGAGUUAGAGGCAAGCGGAAUUCCAUGUGUAGCGGUAAAAUGCGUAAAUAUAUGGAGGAACACCAGAGGCGUAGGCGGCUUGCUGGGACUUUACUGACGCUGAGGCACGAAAGCGUGGGGAGCAAACAGGAUUAGAUACCCUGGUAGUCCACACCAUAAACGAUGAGUACUAAGUGUCGGGUAAAACCGGUACUGAAGUUAACACAUUAAGUACUCCGCCUGAGUAGUACGUACGCAAGUAUGAAACUUAAAGGAAUUGACGGGACUCCGCACAAGCGGUGGAUCAUGUUGUUUAAUUCGAAGAUACACGAAAAACCUUACCAGGUCUUGACAUUUUCUUGCGAAGUUAUAGAAAUAUAAUGGAGGUUAUCAGGAAAACAGGUGGUGCAUGGUUGUCGUCAGCUCGUGUCGUGAGAUGUUAGGUUAAGUCCUAAAACGAGCGCAACCCUUGUCGUUAAUUGCCAGCAUGUAAUGAUGGGGACUUUAACGAGACUGCCAAUGAAAAAUUGGAGGAAGGUGGGGAUUACGUCAAAUCAUCAUGCCCCUUAUGAUCUGGGCUACAAACGUGAUACAAUGGUUGAUACAAAGAGUAGCUGAAACGCGAGUUCUUAGCCAAUCUCACAAAAUCAAUCUCAGUUCG